AUCUCUGCAGCAGUGUCUGACAACUGCUGCAGGUAUUUAAGAGAGCUGGUCAGCAUUCAUAAUAUAGUUCCUUUUUUCCCUUUUUUAAAAUAUGUGAUCUUUGGAAUAUAUCACGCCUAUGCGGGCUGGGGACAGACUUUAUUUGUUUGAAUGUAAGUCCUUGUGGUGGUAUUGAAGUUAGCAAAGGUACUACCGCCAGCAUACCAGCUGGUUGGUUCCUUUUAUGUAUUAUUGGCAUGUGUGCAUUUGCAAAUCACUGCAAACCAAAGCUUUUCUACCCCUGUACACAGCCCAAAGUGAUAUUUAUCUAGCUUAGAGACUGUUAAUUGUUGUCCAAUUUUUAAGCUUUGCUGGACAUAACAACUUCCAUGUGCAACCCAAGAGGCUGUGCGAGCAGAAAUAUUUUUAAGGGUGCCAAUGAAACUGUGUGAUGUAAGAGUUAUGCUUAGUAGCCUCUGUGGAAUUUCAAGGGCUCACUCCUGGGUUUGCAAGGUACAUCAGUCCUUGUGGUGGUGGUGGGGGAGCAAAAUGUGCAGGUCCUGAUAGCUAACUGCAGGGGCUAGUGAGUGCUUUAUUGGGCAUUGCCUGACUCGUGUUCAGUGUUGAUGUAAAGACUUAGCCCUGUUGAUGUACCAAGGAGAUUCUAGUACAGCAGCAAAAUUUGAAAAGUGAUCCAUACCUCAGGGAAAAUCUUACAGGUUUUAAAUGAAAGGUGGAGGUGUAUAUAACAACUGAUCCAAAAUCCGACUUUAUGCAGGAGCUAGGAGAAAGAUCAUUUGGUAUGGAAAAUACUCUAUUACACACUUACAUAAAUUCAUCUGAAACUUUCAGAAAUGAAAGCCAUUGGAAGAAAUGUUCCUACUUAAAAAAGAAAUGUGUGUUUAUGCAUAAUGUGUUGGAAACUGGAAUUGGCUUUUACAUUGCAGUGCCACAUAUUUCAUUUCUUCUCAGCACAAACUUAAUAAUGCUAAAUGUGUUAGAUUCUACUUUGUAGAUGGUGGAGGCACCCCAUCAACCCAUCCCUGGCUUAAUCUCUUAAUGGAAAAACAUUCUUAUGCUAUCCAUUGAACUGACCAGAAUUGGCCUUUAGGUGAAGUAUAGAGCAAAUACUCAUGAAAACUUGGAGGAAUCUGUCACAAGAAAAAGCUACGCCUGAAAUGGUGCAGCAUUCACAAGGCAGUGACCACACUGACCUUCACACUGUGUCCUGCAGAUUGAUAUGGGAACUUCUAGGAAGAAGCUUGAUAAUGUGGACCUGCAUCAUCUGAUAGAAUGGUUUGACAAGCCUCAAGCCUGACUAGUCUUUUGUGUCCUGUACUUUGCAAUUGUACAAUUAAAUUGUACAAUUAAAGCAGAAGAAAUGGAAUCUAGAAUGCAUACAAAAGAUGGACAACAUCGGUGGGUAUGGUGCAUCAGUUAUGGUAGGCUGCUUCAGUGUGGAGGAAUAUCUGUCAGUCGUGAUUAUUCACGUGGGCAUAACCGUUCUAUUCUGGAGAUUACAAUUACAGAAAGAAAUGGAAACUUUGCGACUACCUCAAAUACGAACUUUAAAUACAGCAACGAGUUCAUAUGUAAAGACUGCCGUGCAAAACGCCCUUCUGUCCAUGGAAGUUUGGUCGCUCACUACAAUGCUAGAAGAAUUGAUUGAACCUUAAGCAGUAAAAUUAGGACACAGUUUGGCUUUGAUGGAAUGAAUCUAGGAAUUGUUCUUGUGUCCUCAUUCCCAAGGAUAAAGAAGUUCUCUGCUUCACAAGAGGCCAGCUUGCUAAAGAAAAAUAAAAGUGAUUGUGAAAUCGCAGGCUGAAAUUGGAGCUGGACCCAGAUUCUUUGUCAAAUUGUGCUCUUGAAAUGUCAGCGAUUCUUUAACAUUGCUCUGCUUCGCAGAACAUGUGGAUGGCAGCUACGGAUGCAAAAACCUCCACAGGGAGCAGCACAUUUCCCAAGACACUACCUCCAGCCAUGUUCAUGUCAGAUUUGUGAGGUCUACACGCUAGAUCUGGAAGUAGGGCUUGGAAACUUGAAAAGUUCAUUCUUAUGAUAAGGCUUUUGAUGAUAUCCUUAAAUGUUGCUGGGUGUAAGUACAAGAUGGUAUCGAGGCUUGCAUGCAGUACAGCUUGCCUAUGCUAUAAAUGUGGCUUGGCACACAUAGCAUCAUGCAGUGAUUGCCAGGGCGAUGGAUGUGGGAUCCAAAGGUGCCUUGCUUAAGCAAACAAAAAAAACUUCAAUCUGCAUCAAGCAGGGGAAGAUCAUAUCCUGAACUAUUUCCCAAUAACCCUGCCCCCUGAAACCAGAGUUGGUGUUUGGGGGGCCGCUGAGCACUGCGGCACAGAAAAGGAAGCAGAUAAUUCUUGCUCUGUGAUGGAAAACUGCUUGUAGUUCUCUGGAUCAAAGCCAUGGUUGGCUGAUCUGAUGAAACCUGACACCAGAUCGUGCAGCAUAAUAAAGUAUCACCAGUUUGUUAAUUUUGUAGAGUGAAUUUUAUGGAGAUUUCAUAAAUACUUGGAAUGAAAUAUGUAUUUCAUGUCAAAAUUUGCCCUUUGUUUAAACUAUGAUCACCACAUAUUAGCACUGGAGUUUUGGAAAGAUGAUAUAUAUAUACCUUCACCUUUCAUUUAAGUACUUCUGUACUCCCCCUCCACCACCAAAAGUUGUAUUUCUGUGGCUUCAAAGUUUGCAGCUGAAGGGAACGAGGUGAGUCUUUAGGUCAGUAUAAUAGGCCAAAGUAUUUCUUGUGCCAUAGCAAACCAGAACAUUGCAGAGUUUACGGGAGAAGUAGUCCAUUUUAUUCCAAAUAAUUCAGAACAAAACUUCUCCCUUGGCUAUCUUGGUUCGGUGUAAGUCAGACAUGCAUCCAAGUGAGCAGGACUUAAGAUUUCUAAACUGCUGGUUACUGAGAAACUUAGCAUCAAAAGCAUUUUAUUUAUCUUGCGUAUGCCAACUUUUUCUGCAUUUCUAAAAUAAGAGUACUUGACAAAACUAAUGCUAUUGGAAGUAGUUGGAGUCAGGUGAAAGGGGUCUUGUAUAGGAAGAAGGGUUAUUUUAAUAUACAUAUUUUUUAAUGGAUUUGACCUCCUCUCUCCUUAAUAAGAAAGGAAUAACUACAAAAGGUUACUGAAAUUCUCUCUGGCUAUUUGACUGUAAUGCAUUCAAACCCUGUUGGUAAAGGAUGUCUCCCUCCUGAGACCCCUCCUAGGCUGUCAGACACUGAACAAAUUCACAGACUAGUUUAAUAUCAGAGGUUGAACUACUCACAAACUCUGUUUUUAAAAAGGAUUGUCCCAGUAUUGAAUACCACCACACCCACACCCACACCCACACCCACACACCAUGGGCACAUAAUCAUGACCUAAAAUAAAAGGUUUGUGCUUUCUUUUUGGAACAGGGUAUGUAAUCUGUCUAAAUUUCACGUGGCUUGCUAUUUGUUAGUAUCACAAUUUUAAAGCUUGAUAAUGUUUGUCCAAAAGUGGAAACUUGAUUAAUUGCAACCCAAACGUGCUCAGCCUGCCAUCUGUACCUUGCACCAUUUUCUUAAGAAAAUGUCACUGUAAGUUAUGGGGAAGAGAUGUUGGUUAAAGCAGACUUUUGCUUUUAAAAAAGCUAAUAAUAAUGAUGAUAAUAAUAAUGAUGAUGUAUAUCUACCCUUUGGAUCUAAUGUACAUUUUUUUAUGCAGCUGUCAAAUUCUCUAUUUAAUCCCUUGGUUUCUCUGUAAAUGUUUUUACUCUCUGUUUGAAUGCUGGGCACAGUUUGUAACGUAUGUACACAACGGUGUUUUUUUCUAUCAAUGUUGACUCUUUUGCACAUUUUUUGAAAUUGUUUAAUUUGUACACUGUUUUAAUACUCUGACCAACUGUUAUGGAGUGUAUGCGGAUUAUGUAUGUGUGCAAUGUACUACUGUUUUGAAUGAGGAUUUUUAGAUUCCGUAUAAAUGUGUGUCCACUUCUGGCUUUACCUUGGUUGAGGAACUCAGGACAUUAGCUUUGCUUACUAGUUCCCCCACAAUAGUCCAAAUCCAGCAACUUGGUUGUACCUGCAGAGCUUUGACACAGAUACUGAACUCUGUGUGAAUAGGGACUUCCCAGUUCACUCCAUGCUAUUUGGGGCUCUUGCCAGUUGACCAGUCAAAUAUGGUCAAGUUGACCAACAACCUACAUCAUGAAUUCAAUGUAACAGUUAACUUGGUUCUGUUUUGUAGCUAGUGCAUUUCUGAAUCCUUGCCCAUUAUUUGGCUGGAAUGCUAGCCAGAUUCCAAAUGCUUUUUCACUGAUGUGCAGAGUGCACACACCCAGCUUCUCAGAAGCAUGGCGUGAACAGGAACAGGGAAGCCACUGCUUAAUAGAGCUUCAAAUAUGUGUCAGAUCCUCUGCGGAGUUUGGAUUGUGGUAAAUGUGUCUAAGAACUUUCCAAAUAUAGGGUACAUAAAAAUGCCUUCUAUGUACUGUCUGUCCUGUUUCCCACAGACCUAUUCCAGUUUCAUUUCUACAUGUUUUUUAAAAAAUUGUUUUUUAAAGGUACUGCAUUUAGUUAGAUGAAUAUAUAAAAGCUUUGAGAGAUAAUUUACUAGAUAAAUAUAUUUUCAGCUGGCUGAUGUUCAGAAAAUAUUUUAUUUUUUGUUUUUAACCAUUCAAAAUGUAUUUGUAUUUCCAAAAUUAGACAUGAAUUGUAUAUUAAAACACUCUGGCUGGAUAAUGGUAUGGUUUGUCUUGUAAGGUUUGUCUCUCUCUCUUUUUUAAGAGCUAAAAAUGUUUCUGUGAUACAGAGAAUAAUAAUACUGUUCUGAAAAGCUGAAGGCAAUCUUUCAAUUUAGAGCUGCUUGAGAAAAUUGAGACACAAAACCAAUCUUAGAAAAGUCAGAUGUUUUUAUUGCCUGUUCUUUUUUGUUACAUUGAAUGUAAUGUUUCCCUCUUGAUCUUAAAGCUUUCCUUAUUUUCUGGUACUGGGAAAAAAUAAAGCAUGUUGAAGGUACUAGCAGAAUACCAAUUUGCCAGCCUAGUUCAUGGCUUGAAAGAUUAUUUGUAUCAUUCUUAAGACUUGCCAACAAAAAAUUCUCAUGUUGGGUAAAUAGCACACUGGUGGAUAUCAAAAACCAACAGUUAGGAAAAGCGGUAUUCUCUCUUUCUCUCUCUCUUUUUUUUAAAGAGCCUACUAAUAGCCUGGUAUGGUGUGGUAUGUUCCAUUGUUCAUGCACAUUUUGACCUUGUCAUAGUCUCAAAAGUGUGCUUGUACAAAAUGUAUAAAAGCAUUUUGAUUUUUUUAAAACAACAACUAUGUAUUUACCUGUCAUUUUUUUGCUGGUAAAUGGCUUUUAUUUUAUUUGGGUUUUUUAUCAAUUAUAAAAAGAAGCCAUGUUUAUAUUCUGUGUUUGACCAAAUUACUUCUGUUUUAUGAAAUUUGUAUAUUGGUGGUACACAUCUUCGUGUAGGAUGAUUGUGCAUGAGGACCUGCAAGAAUUAAUACAAUGAAAGAUUGGAGGUUGGUUUUUUUUCUUCCAAGUUAAUUCUGGAAAGGUUAUGGUGCAAAGGUUUACUGGAUGUAACCUUAUGAGCUUAUGGAAUGACUAUAGAGAAUGGCACUUCUAAGUGUUAAUAAAACAAAUAUUUAUUUCCAC